rnacentral:rRNA from 1 species
UACAGAGGCCUCGAGCGUUAGGCGGAAUCACUGGGCUUAAAGCGUGUGUAGGCGGGCCCGUAAGUGUCUUGUGAAAUCCCCCGGCUCAACCGGGGAACGGCUGGGCAUACUGCGGGUCUUGGGCCGACUAGGGGCAGCCGGAACAAGCGGUGGAGCGGUGAAAUGCGUAGAUAUCGCUUGGAACGCCGAAGGUGAAAACAGGCUGCUGGGGUCGCGCCGACGCUGAGACACGAAAGCCAGGGGAGCAAACGGG